AACAACAGCCAAAAAAAGGAGGAAAAAAAAGGAAAAAGAAGCAGGUAACAUUAACUUUCAUAACAUUUUAAUUUUAUACAUAUAAAAUAUUAUUUCAUCAGGUGACCAAUAUAAACAAAUUAUUAGUGUGAUAUUUUACAUCCUUUACAAAAGUUUUUUACAUAUUUUACAUACACAUACUAUAUAUUUUUGAGACCCCGUGUGUAUGUUGCCUUCAGAAGCACAUCUCAGUUCAGACCAACCACAUUUCAAGUGCUCAGUGGAAACUUGUGGCUGCGUGUUGGACAACACAGAGGCAGAGCUUUCUGAGCAAAAGAACUGAACAAAUUCUUGAGUUUGAGGCACCCUUAGGAAGCAAGUGUGACCAGAAGGAAGUAAAAGAGGGUAGGACUGAUAAUAAGUGAAGUCAAAGAGAGAGCCAGGGCCUAGUGUUUUGGAUUUAAUUUGGCUUUUAUUCUAAACAUGAUGGAAAACUAUUGGACACUUUUAAGGCAAGAAAUGAUUUGCUCUAAUUUUUAAAAGAUGCUUUGGGGAGGUCCUGUCAUGGCUCAGUGGUUAACGAAUCCGACUAGGAAACAUGAGGUUGUGGGUUCAAUCCCUGGCCUUGCUCAGUGGGUUAAGGAUCCGGUGUUGCCGUGAGCUGUGGUGUAGGUCCCAGACGUGGCUUGGAUUCUGCGUUGCUGUGGCUGUGGUGUAGUCUGGCAGCUAUAGCUCUGAUUAGACCCCUAGCCUGGGAACCUCCAUACGCCACAGGAGCGGCCCCCAAAAAGGCAAAAAGACAAAAAAAAUAAAAGAUACUUUGGAGAGUCCUGUCAUGGCUCAGCAGGUUAAGGACCCCGUGUCGUCUCCAUGAGGAUGCAGGUUCCAUCCCUGACCUCGCUCAGUGGGUUAAGCAUCUGGUGUUGCCACAAGCUGCCAUGUAGGUCACAGAUGAGGCUUGGAUCUUGUAUGGCUGUGGCUGUGGUGUAGGCCAUCAGCUGCAGCUCCGAUUCAACCCUGUAGCUUCCAUAUGCUGCAGGUACGGCCAUUAAAAAAACAAAACAAACAAACCCUUUUGGCUGCUGCGUUGGAAACAGUCUGCAUGGAGGCCAGAGAGCAGCAGAAAGGUCCAGAUAGAAGCUAUGACGUUAGCAUGGGUGAGAGUUACAGGCAACUUGGACUUGAGUGGUCAUGGGUCAGGUGCUGAAAAGCAUUGGAAUUCCCAGUCGAUAUUCCCAGGCAGAGCCCGCGGGAGUUGCUGAUGGACUGGAUGUGACGUAUGAGAAAGAGGAAAGUCAGCCAUGACUCCAAGAGUCUUGUCCUGAGCAAAUGAUGUGGAGCCGGGGUUGGGGUAGGGCAUGGAAGUAGGUUUGGAGGAAAACGAGAGUUGAGUUUAAGCCUAGACCAAUCAACAUUGGGUGUGUCCUCUAAAAUCUAGAACGUGUGUGUCAGCAAAGGCGAAGGGGGUGUGGAAAAAGUACAGGAAGUGUUCAAACAAUGGAGAUUCCCAAAGGCAAGAGUAUGUGUUGGGGCAGGGGCCAGGCUGCUAGGGGUCAAGUCUGAGCUGUAGUUGCCGGCCGACACCAUAGCCACGGAAGCUUGGGAUCCUUAACCCAUUGAGCAAGGGCAGGGAUCAAACCUGAGUCCUAUGGAUACUAGUCAGGUUCAUUAACCACUGAGCCACAGUGGGAACAAUGGGGAGAUUCAGAUUUUGUUGGGUCUAAAGCUUAUGCAGUUUGGGGGGCCCUCUUUAAGAAAAGCUAUACAAAAUCACAAAUAUCAGAGGGACAAAAGUGAAUAUUUAUUUAGAUUUUGGAAUGAAAUCAUGACAUCAUGGGAAAAAAAUUUAAAGCUGAAAAAUAUCGUAAACAUCACAAAAUCCAGAAAAAUAACAGAAUAUUUGUGUUUAUUUGAUAUUCUUCUGAAACACCUUUUCCCUACAUAUUCUGGCUCUGUCCUCUUUGCAUCUUCUUUUUUUUUUUUCUUUUUAGGGCCACUUCUGAGGCAUAUGAAAGUUUCCAGACUAAGGGUUGAAACUGAGCUGCAGCUGCCAGCCUAUGCCACAGACACAGCCCCAUCAAUGCCAGAUCCGGUCUGAGCCAUGUCUUCGACCUAUGCCACAGCUCGCGGCAACACCGGAUCCUUAACCCACUGAGCAAGGCCUCAUGGAUGCUAGUCAGGUUCUUAACCCGCUGAGUCACAAUUGGAAUUCCUGUUUGUAUCUUUUUUUUUUUUUUUUUUUUGUCCUUUUUGCCAUUUCUUGGACUGCUCUCGCGGCAUAUGGAGGUUCCCAGGUUAGGGGUUGAAUCGGAGCUGCAAUUGCCGGCCUACGCCAGAGCCACGGCAACUCGGAACCUGAGCCGAAUCUGCAACCUACACCACAGCUCAUAGCAACGCAGAAUCCUUAACCCACUGAGGGAGGCCAGGGAUUGAACCUGCAACCUCAUGGUUCCUAGUUGGAUUCGUUAACCACUGAGCCACAAUGGGAACUCCUUGUAUCGUUUUUUGAAAAUUUCCACAGAGAAAAUAAAAAGGAUAACCCAGUGUUAUCUAGCAUGGUUGAUUGGAAGUUUUUAAAAUUAUCUAUGGUUUAGAAAAGUUUAUUUUAACUUUGCAAAUCAUUGGUAAUGGCAUAUAAACAUUAGGGUGGUUGUCAGAUUUGGGAAAAUCAUUAUCAAAGUUCCUGUCAUAUGUGAGCCUUAAGAUUUUAGAGCAAUUUAUGUUUUCUGGUGCAGUGAUUUAUCUAAAAUAAUCUUUGAAUUGGUGACACUUCAUACCCUGUUUGCUGUCAGCUCAGUGUUAUCUUUGUGGAUAAUCACUGUUUUAUGUCAAAUCAGCAAAAAAAAUUCUAAUCUUUUUCAAUAGCUUUACCUCUCCUACACUUGAGAUGUAAUUGAGAUGGCUUAUGUUUAUAGAAGACUCAUAAUUAAAUUCCUUUCUUGGAGUUCCCAUCGUGACUUAGCAGAAACGAAUCUGACUAGCAUCCAUGAGGACACAGGUUCGAUCCCUGGCCUUGCUCAGUGGGUUAAGGAUCCCGCAUUGCUGUGAGCUGUAGUGGAGGUCACAGAUGCGGC
rnacentral:lncRNA from 1 species